CAGUCGCCGCGGGAACACGUAGGUGGCAAGCGUUGUCCGGAAUUAUUGGGCGUAAAGGGCUCGCAGGCGGUUUCUUAAGUCUGAUGUGAAAGCCCCCGGCUCAACUGGGGAGGGUCAUUGGAAACUGGGAAACUUGAGUGCAGAAGAGGGGAGUGGAAUUCCACGUGUAGCGGUGAAAUGCGUAGAGAUGUGGAGGAACACCAGUGGCGAAGGCGACUCUCUGGUCUGUAACUGACGCUGAGGAGCGAAAGCGUGGGGAGCGAACAGGAUUAGAUACCCGCGUAGUCCCUGUCUCUUAUAC
rnacentral:rRNA from 1 species